GACGAACGCUGGCGGCGUGCUUAACACAUGCAAGUCGAGCGGUAAGGCCCUUUCGGGGGUACACGAGCGGCGAACGGGUGAGUAACACGUGGGUGACCUGCCCUCAGCUCUGGGAUAAGCCUGGGAAACCGGGUCUAAUACUGGAUAUGACUCCAUGACGCAUGUUGUGGGGUGGAAAGCCUUGUGCGGCUGAGGAUGGGCCCGCGGCCUAUCAGCUUGUUGGGGGGUGAUGGCCUACCAAGGCGACGACGGGUAGCCGGCCUGAGAGGGCGACCGGCCACACUGGGACUGAGACACGGCCCAGACUCCUACGGGAGGCAGCAGUGGGGAAUCUUGCGCAAUGGGCGAAAGCCUGACGCAGCGACGCCGCGUGAGGGAUGACGGCCUGGUGUAAC
rnacentral:rRNA from 1 species